UCGGAUUUUGCCAAGCUUAACGAGCUAUUACCUCUUAAGAAAGGGUAUGACAAUCGAUACGAUCAGUCUUUAAAUCCUACAACAUUCUCUAGUUUUACAGCAACAGCUUACCGUGCUUUUCACAGUUAUAUUCAAAGAACAAUUAACUUAAUGAACGAGUUUAGAAAAACUACAUGCAGUUUACAAUUAAGUGAUGUUUUCUUCAAAUCUGAUUUGGUACAAGAAAAUGAUAACUUCGACAGUAUCACUAGGGGAAUGAUAACUCAACAUGCUCAAGGACAAGAUCAAUUUUUCACGUCACAGAUUAGUAAUUUAUUGUUCAAAAAAACAAACCCACUUGGAGGCUUAGAUCUUAUUAGUAUAGAUAUAUCUAGAG